ACUGGGUUGGCCGAGUGGUUAAGGCGUUGGACUUAAGUUCCAAUGGACAAGUGUCCGCGUGGGUUCGAACCCCACAUCCAGUA
rfam:Ciona savignyi cont_60416, whole genome shotgun sequence.